rnacentral:rRNA from 1 species
AUACGGAGGGUGCAAGCGUUAAUCGGAAUUACGGGGCGUAAAGCGUACGUAGGCGGUUAGUUAAGUUAGAUGUGAAAGCCCCGGGCUUAACCUGGGAACUGCAUUUAAAACUGGCUAACUAGAGUUAAGUAGAGGGGAGUGGAAUUUCAGGUGUAGCGGUGAAAUGCGUAGAGAUCUGAAGGAACACCAGUGGCGAAGGCGACUCCCUGGACUUGAACUGACGCUGAGGUACGAAAGCGUGGGUAGCAAACGGGAUUAGAAACCCUAGUAGUCC